AACGAACGCUGGCGGCAUGCCUAACACAUGCAAGUCGAACGAGACCUUCGGGUCUAGUGGCGCACGGUUGCGUAACGCGUGGGAACCUGCCCUUAGGUUCGGAAUAACUCCCCGAAAGGGGUGCUAAUACCGGAUAAUGUCUUCGGACCAAAGAUUUAUCGCCUUUGGAUGUGCCCGCGUUGGAUUAGCUAGUUGGUAGGGUAAAAGCCUACCAAGGCGACGAUCCAUAGCUGGUCUGAGAGGAUGAUCAGCCACACUGGGACUGAGACACGGCCCAGACUCCUACGGGAGGCAGCAGUGGGGAAUAUUGGAAAAUGGGCGAAAGCCUGAUCCAGCAAUGCCGCGUGAGUGAUGAAGGCCUGAGGGUUGUAAAGCUCUUUUACCCGGGAUGAUAAUGACAGUACCGGGAGAAUAAGCCCCGGCUAACUACGUG
rnacentral:rRNA from 1 species